UCUUCGCUGUCGCUCGUCUGGUGCACUUCCUCUAAGUACGUCGGCACACUUCUGCAUUUCUGUGUGUAUGUGUCUGCAGUGUAUGCUACGUACGUGUCAUGACCUCUCACUAUUUGUCUGUCUGUGCGUGCAGAGUUUGCAUCUGCUUUUCUGAUCCUUAGUUGACCUCAACUUAAGCAACCAACCAGGCUAAGGCCAUCCUGUGUGUAAUGAUCUUGACUUAUAUGUGAAAUAUAUAAACAACUGUUUCAAUCUACCACAACUGCUUAAGGCUUAAUCCGCAAUAAAUGCAUACUAAACACCCUUGCACUUAAACUUCUGGCUUCAGUUUCACUUCUGCAAAACAUGCUCUGCAGACGCAGUAUUUUUCCUGUCUCUGCCCUCUACACAGAGAUCAUAAAAGCAUUAAUAACAUUUAAAUUAUAGAUUCAACAGAACCAUUUAAAAUGGUUCUUCUUUGGACCUGUAAUAAAGGCUAUAACCAUAUAUUUGAACAUCUGAAUGCAUCUAACUGCAACCUCACUAUUAAUACUGAAAUGUUAAUGAUGAUUAUAAAAAUAGCAGCAACUAAUAGCAGGACAAUAUUUCUAUUCCUGACACUCCCACUCUUGACCUCUUGACCACAAGAGGUCACCAUACUGUGUGUUAGGUCACUGCUUGGCCCAUUCAGCUGCUCCCCUGUCCAUCCCAGACAUCAUGGACAUUUAGGAUCACUGUUCUUAGCUCUGACCCUCUCUUGGCAUCCUGUGACUUAACAAAUCAGACAACCUCAUGUCAUCUAGGUGGUCUUAGUUAUAAAAUGCCCGCUCCCACUUGAGAACACUUCAUGCUUAAGUGGUCUCUGCUCCUCUUCUGGGUCCCACUCUAGUGGAAAUCUGGCCACCUGCAAAGGAAACAAAACACUUUCUCCCUACUAUGCUCUAAGUUACUCUGUUCCUCGAUUGUUCUCAAAACAUGAACCUAAUUUCAUAUUUGGUUUUGACUUUUAUUCCUAUAUAAUCUUAAACAUCACUCAUCUCAAUCUACAGCUUUCUAACAGUCUUACAGCACUGCUGUCAUACGUUUCCUGUUUUUCCUUAUCUGAUCAUCAACAUCCUGUGCACAAAACUGUCCCUGCUGCUGCAAGUGCCUCUCAUCUAAAGUCACCUCUCACCAGCAAAAUCAUCAUAAAAUCAUUAUAACGGCUUAUUCUACUAAAAGGAUAAUAAAAAACGACCACUUUAAUCACUAAGUGUAAGCACAUAGUUAAUUGCUCCUAGAUAAACUUCAUCAUAGCUAAAAGCUGAACUCUAACUGUAUUUUGAACUCCCAUUUUCUGGGUAAUAACCUGUUUGAAUAUAUCAUUUUAUUUCAUUUUGCUGCUUUUAAUGUAAUGACUCCUUCUAACUUAAACUUUAUCAGACUUAACCAAAAUAUAUGAGCUUUCUCCCUUUGCUUCUGUUUUAAACAACAACUUUUUUACUUCAACAAGCAUUUGUUAUUCUGUAACUGCAUUUUAUAUAAGAGGACUAAUUUAGAACUGCAUGUGUUAUCUCCAUCUUUUACAUGUCACCCAAUUUAGUUACAAACGAAACUCCUAUUCAGUUAAAUGCUAAAUGGAUUUCAGGCCUUUGCCUGGAAUCAAUACUGUCAGGUCUUAAUGAACUCUAUAUGUCUGUAAGCGUGUGCAAUCCUUCAAUAACUCAGGUCAUUCUCACAGUAGAUUGGCUAAUCAUAACGUUAACCAAAAGUUUAUGACCCUCAAGAGACGACUCUCUGAGCCACAACUCAGUUAAAGGCACCAAAAUGCAAUGUGUAUGAAAAAAUCAUUUCUACAUAUAUAAUCUCCAAUAUUAUUCAUUUGAGUCAGCGAGACUUUUAACAUCCUCAUAAAAAGCUCUCCUCUACCCUAAAGCCUACCUUAUAACAACAUUCUAGCAUUAUGUCACUGUUACAACUUAUCCUACAAAUCAAAAAGAAAAAUCCCACAUUUUCUACUCAUAAAAUGUUCACUAUUUUCCCCAAAGCAUAUCCUUUAUUCCCACAGUUUCCCCUUUAAGUUUUGUAUACAACUUCUUAUGAACACCGCAUUUUAUCUUCUAAACCUAAUUCAGUUCAUUUUAAUCCUUUCUUUUAACAAAUCCUCAGUUUUACUAUAUCUAGAUUAUCAAACCACCCCAAUCAUUAUAAAAUCCUAGUAAAACCCCUUUCAAAUUAAACAAAUUAAAUCUUAAAUCCUCUCUUUUUGACACAUCUCAUGUGGCAAAAACUCAACAUGCUCCACCCAAGCUUAACAAAUUAAAAGGAAAAA
ensembl:lncRNA